rnacentral:rRNA from 1 species
ACAACACCUAGGAGGAUCCUGAGUACGGCGGAACACGAGAAAUUCCGUCGGAAUCCGCGGGGACCAUCCCGCAAGGCUAAAUACUCCCUAGUGACCGAUAGUGAACCAGUACCGUGAGGGAAAGGUGAAAAGCACCCCGGAAGGGGAGUGAAAUAGAUCCUGAAACCGUGUGCCUACAACAAGUCAAAGCUCGUUAAUGAGUGAUGGCGUGCCUUUUGUAGAAUGAACCGGCGAGUUACGAUUGCAUGCGAGGUUAAGUCGAAGAGACGGAGCCGCAGCGAAAGCGAGUCUGAAUAGGGCGAAUGAGUAUGUAGUCGUAGACCCGAAACCAUGUGAUCUACCCAUGUCCAGGUUGAAGGUGCGGUAAAACGCACUGGAGGACCGAACCCACGUACGUUGAAAAGUGCGGGGAUGAGGUGUGGGUAGCGGAGAAAUUCCAAACGAACUUGGAGAUAGCUGGUUCUCUCCGAAAUAGCUUUAGGGCUAGCCUCGGAAUUGAGAAUGAUGGAGGUAGAGCACUGUUUGGACUAGGGGCCCAUCUCGGGUUACCGAAUUCAGAUAAACUCCGAAUGCCAUUCAUUUAUAUCCGGGAGUCAGACUGCGAGUGAUAAGAUCCGUAGUCGAAAGGGAAACAGCCCAGACCACCAGCUAAGGUCCCAAAAUAUAUGUUAAGUGGAAAAGGAUGUGGGGUUGCACAGACAACUAGGGGGGCUAAACAUAUUACCGAAGCUGUGGACUACACCAUUAGGUGUAGUGGUAGGAGAGCGUUCUAAGGGCGUUGAAGGUCGAUCGUGAGGACGGCUGGAGCGCUUAGAAGUGAGAAUGCCGGUAUGAGUAGCGAAAGACAGGUGAGAAUCCUGUCCACCGUAUGACUAAGGUUUCCUGGGGAAGGCUCGUCCGCCCAGGGUUAGUCGGGACCUAAGCCGAGGCCGAUAGGCGUAGGCGAUGGACAACAGGUUGAUAUUCCUGUACCAGUUGUUUUUGUUUGAGCAAUGGAGGGACGCAGUAGGCUAAGGAAUGCAUGCGAUUGGAAGUGCAUGUCCAAGCAAUGAGUCUUGAGUAGAGUUAAAUGCUUUACUCUCUAAGGACAAGUUGUGACGGGGAGCGAAAUAAUAGUAGCGAAGUUCCUGAUGUCACACUGCCAAGAAAAGCUUCUAGUGAGAAAACAACUGCCCGUACCGUAAACCGACACAGGUAGUCGAGGAGAGUAUCCUAAGGUGAGCGAGCGAACUCUCGUUAAGGAACUCGGCAAAAUGACCCCGUAACUUCGGGAGAAGGGGUGCUGACUUCGGUCAGCCGCAGUGAAUAGGCCCAAGCGACUGUUUAUCAAAAACACAGGUCUCUGCAAAAUCGUAAGAUGAAGUAUAGGGGCUGACGCCUGCCCGGUGCUGGAAGGUUAAGAGGAUGGGUUAGCUUCGGCGAAGCUCAGAAUUGAAGCCCCAGUAAACGGCGGCCGUAACUAUAACGGUCCUAAGGUAGCGAAAUUCCUUGUCGGGUAAGUUCCGACCCGCACGAAAGGCGUAACGAUUUGG